GCUGAGGUGCGAGGGUAUUCAUAGUCUGACCAUAAACUACAGUUAGAGGGAGAGUUGACAGCAUGUGUAAAAUUAACCGCAGUUACGACCUAACAGGAUUUCAAUGUUCUGACCUCUUUCUCAGCAUGUCAUGUGAGGUCAAUGUUUGAGGGUCGGUAACUUGUCAACUAAGAUUAUCCACUCAGAAUUAGAUGACAAGCAAUGCCGAUCAGUCUACUGCUAUGUGUUCAUAUAUCAUCAACCGAUGCAGUUGGACCAGCACGUGCACCGGAUGUAGACGUUGCAAGAAAGACGAAGCCAGGCAGUCGGGUGAUGGAGCGAUGGAGGAAGCGUUCUCAGCACGUGUAUCACCGCAGUUCUCUGGGUGGGCGGCACAUCACCAUGAUGUUCCUCUAAGGAAAUGAAUCUGUUCUCACUGCUGGCGGUGUUCGGGUCACACAGAACACAAAUUUAUGGUCGAGAUAGAAGUGAGCGCAAGU